rnacentral:rRNA from 1 species
GACGAACGCUGGCGGCGUGCCUAAUACAUGCAAGUUGAGCGCUGAAGGUUGGUACUUGUACCAACUGGAUGAGCAGCGAACGGGUGAGUAACGCGUGGGGAAUCUGCCUUUGAGCGGGGGACAACAUUUGGAAACGAAUGCUAAUACCGCAUAAAAACUUUAAACACAAGUUUUAAGUUUGAAAGAUGCAAUUGCAUCACUCAAAGAUGAUCCCGCGUUGUAUUAGCUAGUUGGUGAGGUAAAGGCUCACCAAGGCGAUGAUACAUAGCCGACCUGAGAGGGUGAUCGGCCACAUUGGGACUGAGACACGGCCCAAACUCCUACGGGAGGCAGCAGGAGGGAAUCUUCGGGAAUGGACGAAAGGCUGACCGAGCAACGGCGCGUGAGGGAAGAAGGUUCUCGGAUCGUAAAACUCUGUUGGUAGGGAAGAACGUUGGUGAGAGUGGAAAGCUCAUCAAGUGACGGUAACUACCCAGAAAGGGACGGCUAACUACGUG